GCCGCUCGCGGGGCAGCCAGGCCUCGGCGUGGUGGCCUUAGGGGCUGGGCCGGGAGCCGGCGUAGAGGAGGAGGAGGAAGCUGCGGUGAUCGCCCCCGAGGGCUCCGCGGGGUGCGCACUCACCGCCCAGGCCCUCAGGAGGCCGCCGCCCGCUCUCCACUCCGGGCCCGCAGGACCGCCAUGGACCCGGUUGCUCUGCGCGGAAGCUGCAGAUAAGAAUUGGUUAAAUUUUAUUCACCUCAUAAGUGAAUAUAAGUAAGAAUGGAUCAACUUUGUAUUCACCUGGAGGCAGUCCAGAUAUUCACGUUGUCAAACUGAAAUCCUGGAGCAGAGUUUCUACAACUGUGAGUCACCAUCCAUUAAUCAGUUAUGAGAUUGAUUGAGAGAGUUGUUACCGAUAUUUUAAAACAGAA